UGGGGAAUAUUGCACAAUGGGCGGAAGCCUGAUGCAGCGACGCCGCGUGGGGGAUGACGGCCUUCGGGUUGUAAACUCCUUUCGCCAAAGACGAAUUUGACGGUAUUUGGAGAAGAAGCACCGGCUAACUACGUGCCAGCAGCCGCGGUAAUACGUAGGGUGCGAGCGUUGUCCGGAAUUACUGGGCGUAAAGAGCUCGUAGGUGGUUUGUCGCGUCGUUUGUGGAAGUCCACGGCUUAACUGUGGGACUGCAGGCGAUACGGGCAUAACUUGAGUGCUGUAGGGGAGACUGGAAUUCCUGGUGUAGCGGUGAAAUGCGCAGAUAUCAGGAGGAACACCGAUGGCGAAGGCAGGUCUCUGGGCAGUAACUGACGCUGAGGAGCGAAAGCAUGGGGAGCGAACAGGAUUAGAUACCCUGGUA
rnacentral:rRNA from 1 species